AUUCAACUGAUAAGUCCUAAAUAGGACAAAACUCGCGUCUUGGAU
rnacentral:hammerhead_ribozyme from 1 species